UUCAUGGAGAGUUUGAUCCUGGCUCAGGACGAACGCUGGCGGCGUGCCUAAUACAUGCAAGUCGAGCGAAUCUUGAGGUGCUUGCACCUCUUGGUUAGCGGCGGACGGGUGAGUAACACGUGGGCAACCUGCCUGUAAGACUGGGAUAACAUCGGGAAACCGAUGCUAAUACCGGAUAAUCCUUUUCCUCUCAUGAGGGAAAGCUGAAAGUCGGCUUCUCGCUGACACUUACAGAUGGGCCCGCGGCGCAUUAGCUAGUUGGUGAG
rnacentral:ncRNA from 1 species